UGGGAGAUGGCUCAGUGGUUAAGAGCACUGGCUGCUCUUCCAGAGGACCUGGGUUCAAUUCCCAGCACCCAC
rnacentral:tRNA from 1 species